rnacentral:tRNA from 2 species
GCCUCCGUAGUUCAAUGGAUAGAAUGGCAGAUUCCGGUUCUGCUGAUAUGGGUUCGAUUCCCGUCGGGGGUACUA